rnacentral:rRNA from 1 species
GAACUGAAGAUUUUGAUCAUGGCUCAGAUUGAACGCUGGCGGCAGGCCUAACAUGCAAGUCGAGCGGAUGACGGGAGCUUGCUCCUUGAUUCAGCGGCGGACGGUGAGUAAUGCCUAGGAUUCGCCUUUGGGUAGUGGGGGACACCGUUUUCGAAAGGAACGCUACCGCAUACGUCCUACGGGAGAAAGCAGGGGACCUUCGGGCCUGGCGCUAUCAGAUGAGCCUAGGGUCGGAUUAGCUUAGUAGGUGAGGUAAUGGCUCACCUAGCGACGAUCCGUAACUGGUCUGGAGAGGAUGAUCAGUCACACUGGAACUGGUGACACGGUCCAGACUCCUACGGAGGCAGGGGGAAUAUUGACAAUGGGCGAAAGCCUGAUCCAGCCAUGCCGCGUGUGUGAAGAAGGUCUUCGGAUUGUGGUACACUUAAGUUGGCAGCGCAGUAAGUUAUCACCUGUUGCUUCCGACGUUACCGACAGAAUAAGCACCGGCUAAUUUCGUGCCAGCAGCCGCGGUGUACUACAGAGUGGUGCAAGCGUUAAUCGGAAUUACUGGGCGCAGCGCGCGUAGGUUCGUUGCUGAUGUGAAAGCCCCGGGCUCAACCUGGGAACUGUAUCCAAAACUGGCGAGCUAGAGUAUGGUAGAGGGUGUGGAACGGUAGCGGGUAAAAUGCGUAGAUAUAGGAAGGAACACCAGUGGCGAAGGCGACCACCUGGACUAUUACCACACUGAGGUGCGAAAGCGUGGGAGCAACAGGAUUAGAUACUCCUGGUAGUCCACGCUGUAAACGAUGUCAACUAGCCGUUGGAAUCCUUGAGAUUUUAGUGUGGCAGCCAACGCAUUAAGUUGACCGCUUCCGGGGAGUACGGCCGCAAGGUUAAAACUCAAACAAUUGACGGGGGGCCCGGCACAAGCGGUGGAGCAUGUGGUUUAAUCUCGAAGCAACGCGAAGAACCUUACCAGGCCCGACAUGCAGAGAACUUUCCAGAGAUGGAUUGGUGCCUUCGGGAAACUCUGACACAGGUGCUGCAUGGCUGUCGUCAGCUCGUGUCGUGAGAUGUUGUUGCUUCCGUAACGAGCGCAAACGGUCCUUAGUUACCAGCACGUUAUGGUGGGCACUCUAAGGAGACUGCUGGCACAAACCGGAGUGAAGGUGGGAUGACGUCAAGUCAUCAUGGCCCUUUACGGCCUGGGCUACACACGUGCUACAAUGGUCGGUACAGAGGUUGCCAAGCCGCGAGGUGGAGCUAAUCUCACAAAACCGAUCGUCCGAUCGCAGUCUGCAACUCGACUGCGAAGUCGGAAUCGCUAGUAAUCGCAAAUCAGAAUGUUGCGGUGAAUACGUUCCCGGGCCUUGUACACACCGCCCGUCACACCAUGGGAGUGGGUUGCACCAGAAGUAGCUAGUCUAACCUUCGAGGACGGUUACCACGGUGUGAUUCAUGACUGGGGUGGUCAAAUACAGCCGGUAGGGAACCUGCGGCUGAUCAAUUUAAUC